rnacentral:rRNA from 1 species
UACGGAGGGUGCAAGCGUUAUCCGGAUUCACUGGGUUAAGGUGCGUAGGCGGCGCGGUAAGUCGGGUGUGAAAUCUCGGAGCUUAACUCCGAAACUGCAUUCGACUACUGCCGUGCUUGAGGACUGGAGAGGAGACUGGAAUUUACGGUGUAGCGGUGAAAUGCGUAGAUAUCGAGAGGAACACCUGCGGCGAAGGCGGGUGCUGGGCUGACACUGACGCUGAAGCGCGAAAGCUAGGGGAGCGAACGGG